GGAAAGGUGCCGGAGCGGUUUAACGGCCAGGUCUCGAAAACCUUGGUGGGCAUUUUUGUCCAGCGCGAGUUCGAAUCUCGCCCUUUCCG
rnacentral:tRNA from 1 species